CCUCUAGUAACUGCGAGUGAAGCGGGAAGAGCUCAAAUUUAAAAUCUGGUGGUCUUUGGCCUCCCGAGUUGUAGUCUGGAGAAUUGCUUUCCGUGCUGGGCCGUGUACAAGUCUCUUGGAACAUAGCGUCGGAUAGGGUGAGAAUCCCGUCUUUGACAUGGGCUACCAGUGCUUUGUGAUGCGCUCUCAAAGAGUCUAGUUGUUUGGGAAUGCAGCUCAAAAUGGGUGGUAAAUUCCAUCUAAAGCUAAAUAUUGGCGAGAGACCGAUAGCGAACAAGUACCGUGAGGGAAAGAUGAAAAGCACUUUGGAAAGAGAGUUAAACAGUACGUGAAAUUGCUGAAAGGGAAACACUUGAAGUCAGUCGCAUCUGCUGGGACUCAUCCUUGCCUUUAAAAGCUUGGUGCAUUUCCUGGUUGGAUGGGCCAGCAUCAAUUUCGGUCACUGGAAAAAGGCUGGUGGAAUGUGGCACCUUCGGGUGUGUUAUAGCCAUUGGCUGCAUGCAGUGGCUGGGAUUGAGGACCGCAGCACGCCGUUAUGGUCGGGGUUUGCCCACGUUCGUGCUUAGGAUGCUGGCAUAAUGGCUUUAAAUGACCCGUCUUGAAACACGGACCAAGGAGUCUAACGUGCCUGCGAGUGCUUGGGUGGUAAACCCGAGCGCGAAAUGAAAGUGAAAGUUGGGAUCCCUGUUGUGGGGAGCACCGACGCCCGGACCUGAUCUUCGGUGAUGGAUCUGUGGUAGAGCAUGUAUGUUGGGACCCGAAAGAUGGUGAACUAUGCCUGAAUAGGGUGAAGCCAGAGGAAACUCUGGUGGAGGCUCAUAACGAUUCUGACGUGCAAAUCGAUCGUCAAUUUGUGUAUAGGGGCGAAAGACAAAAUCGAACCAUCUAGUAGCUGGUUCCUGCCGAAGUUUUCCCUCAAGGAAAACA
rnacentral:rRNA from 1 species